AUGUUUUUUUUUUGAAUACCGCUGGACAGUCAAUGGACUAGAAGCUACAUAUGCACAAGGGUACACACAAAUACUCCCUUUUAGUGAUUGAAAUUAAAUCGAUACUUGUUCUCAUCCAUCGGUGCGUUUUUAAUGGCUUAUAGUGUGAGUUGGUUUAAUGUUUAUUUGCAUAUUUAUGAUGUUAUGGAAACUUUGUCAUUGCAAAAUUAAGUUUUUUCUACUUUUCUAGAAUUUCAAUGAAGUUUUGCUCAUAUGUGUAAUGGAAACACAGCUACUGUUGGUGUGUGGUAAAGGUAUUGUAAAGUAUUUGAAAGGCAAAUGUAAGGUAGACGUACUUAUGACGUACAAGUGAUGCUGUUAUACACUCUAGUCAUCAGUAAAGUGCACAUACGGGCUUCUAACUGACCUUACACAAAUGCUCCACAAGUGCACAAGAUAUAUCAACCAAUCUUUAUUUAUAAAAAGUUCUUCUCAUACUUUGUUCAGUUUGAAGCCCUUUACAGUAAAAACAUAUACUAAGAAAUAAAAACCUUCCCUUUACCCUCCCCUCUGUUAACACACACAUCCCAUGAUCCCUCACACUUAAGACACUUAAAGCUCGGCUCUACUGUGAUGAAACACUAUAUUAGGAACCUAUUCAUGACCAGGAUAGCAAUCGGGACAGCAACAGUGCCCACUCCACAGCUGUGAGGCUGCAGUGAUGGACCGCCCCAACAAGGGCGAGAACCGCGGUAACAACCACCAACCAAGCCGUGGAACAAAGGAUCCCCACUGGAACAACCGUAGGAUUUCUACGCAAAACUUUCAUCUGAUUGUCUAAUUUCCUUUUUCUGACAGUCAGCGAGUACUUUAUCACUCACUCUCUCAUUGGACAGUGGGCUGGUUUUGGUAGAAUAAAAAAAAAAAAUAAAUAAGGAAACUUACUUCACCCUUCAUACCCUUCAAGUGCUCGCUACAACCUGUCACGCGCAGCAUGCCCAUAGAUAAAAAAAAAUGUGCAUGAACAUUUUCGUCUUAUGGGCUAACUGUGUUGUCUACAACUCUAUCAGGGGCAGUUGUGACUAAGCAGUUAAAAAUAUGUUAAAUUUCAACCAUAAGUAAGUUUACUCCAAGUGUAAUUAGAUUAAUUUUUGUGUUUGUUUUAUAUUUUGAUACUAAUUUAGUAUUUAUUUGACUAGAACACAUCGAGCAGCUGCCGAAGACGUAAAGUAUUUGGUUCAACCAGAGAGGACGAGAGCAUCAACAGGAGCAGCUGGACUUUAACAAAAAAGAAAAAAAAGCUUCAAACUUUAUUUAAAACGAGGGUGAAUGACAAAAGGUCAAAGGUCACAUCAUCAAUGGAGUUACAAUUGUGGACAAGGACUGAGCCGGCAGAUGCGUUCCGUAUGCAAGGCAAUCAAGUAAAACAGUGAGUGGAGAGCAGGAGCACUAUCUGCACACCCACUCACACACCAAACUGGCCUGGAGAAAAACAGAGGAGGAGGAGGAUGAAGAAGGAGAAGAAGUGUGGGACGGAAAGGAACGAGCCUGAGACCACUGAAGCCACCACAAACUAUCCAGUCAAAUAUCAGCGGGACUUUCAUCUCGAUACUUCAAACUUGUUUGAGUCUAUUGGAGAAACAUGAAUGAAGUUUGAGGCUUUUAUUCUGAAGGGCUUGUGUAAUCUGGAACAACAUAUCAGUAGUUAUUUAUGUUUGUUUUCAACUCAAGCACAUAUUCAAAUACAAGAAAAUAUUCAAAAAAAUAAAUAUUUGACUUGCUUACAAUGAA